AACGAACGCUGGCGGCAGGCUUAACACAUGCAAGUCGAACGAGAUCUUCGGAUCUAGUGGCAGACGGGUGAGGAACACGUGGGAACAUCCCUUUCAGUUCGGAAUAACGUUGGGAAACUAACGCUAAUACCGGAUACGUCCUUCGGGAGAAAGAUUUAUCGCUGAAAGAUUGGCCCGCGUCUGAUUAGCUAGUUGGUGAGGUAACGGCUCACCAAGGCUACGAUCAGUAGCUGAUCUGAGAGGAUGAUCAGUCACAUUGGGACUGAGACACGGCCCAAACUCCUACGGGAGGCAGCAGUGGGGAAUAUUCCACAAUGGGCGAGAGCCUGAUGGAGCAACGCCGCGUGCAGGAUGAAUGCCUUCGGGUUGUAAACUGCUUUUAUGUGCGAAGAAUUUGACUGUAACACAUGAAUAAGGAUCGGCUAACUACGUGCCAGCCGCCGCCGUAA
rnacentral:rRNA from 1 species